rnacentral:tRNA from 1 species
ACGAGUGUAGCUCAGUUGGUAGAGCAGCGGUCUCCAAAACCGCAGGCCGCGGGUUCGAGCCCCUCCGCUCGUGCAA